CUUCUUCCAUCAGAUGACUGAAAGUAAGUAAUGGUCUCUUAAACCAUUUUAUAGUAAUUAACGUUUACUUCUGAUGA
rnacentral:tRNA from 1 species